rnacentral:rRNA from 1 species
AUUGAACGCUGGCGGCGUGCUUAACACAUGCAAGUCGAACGAAGUGGCGAACGGGUGAGUAAUACGUGAGUAACCUGCCCUCCUUUUUGGGAUAAGCCUUGGAAACGGGGUCUAAUACCGGAUAAAGGGGGGUGGGCUCGCGGCCUAUCAGCUUGUUGGUGGGGUGAUGGCCUACCAAGGCGGGGGCGGGUAGCCGGCCUGAGUGGGUGGUCGGGCACAUAGAGACUGAGAUUAGGCCCAGAGUACUACGGGGGGGGGCAGGGGGGGCAAUUGAACAAUGGGUGAAAGACUGAUGCAGCGUCGGUGCGGGGGGGAUUAGGGCUUUCGGGUUGUAAACCUCUUUCGCAACCGGGCGGGUAGGUGGAUAAGAAGCGCCGGCUAACUACGUGCCAGCAGCCGCGGUAAUAC